rnacentral:lncRNA from 10 species
AUUUCUUAGAUUUUCUUCUAGAAUUUUUGUAAUUUGAAGACUUACCUUUAAGUCUUCACUCCAUCUUGAGUUAUUUUUGUCUAUGGUGAGAGGUAGGGGUCUUGUUUCAUUCCUCUGCAGGUGGUUAGCCAGUUUUUAAAAUAAUGGUUGUUGCUUUUAAUAUAUCCCUAAUGCAAGUACCAUUUUAAAAAUAAAUUUCUUAGAGUUGUUCGUUAUUUAUGCUUUAAUAAGUGGGAGUCCAUCUGUUGAGAAAACACUGGCCUUGGUGAUAUGUGUGUGUGUGUGUGUGUGUGUGUGUACACAUCUUAAACCCACGGUCUGGAGAUGAGUUGCACUUCUCUAGUUUAAGAAUUUAAAAACUAUAGAAUCAUAGGAGGGACCAUAAAUUCGGGAGAAUGGCAGAAUAAAUA